GACGAACGCUGGCGGCGUGCUUAACACAUGCAAGUCGAACGGAAAGGCCCUGCUUUUGUGGGGUGCUCGAGUGGCGAACGGGUGAGUAACACGUGAGUAACCUGCCCUUGACUUUGGGAUAACUUCAGGAAACUGGGGCUAAUACCGGAUAGGAGCUCCUGCUGCAUGGUGGGGGUUGGAAAGUUUCGGCUGUGGGGGAUGGACUCGCGGCUUAUCAGCUUGUUGGUGGGGUAGUGGCGUACCAAGGCUUUGACGGGUAGCCGGCCUGAGAGGGUGACCGGCCACCUUGGGACUGAGAUACGGCCCAGACUGCUACGGGAGGCAGCAGUGGGGAAUAUUGCACAAUGGGCGGAAGCCUGAUGCAGCAACGCCGCGUGCGGGAUGACGGCCUUCGGGUUGUAAACCGAUUUCGCCUGUGACGAAGCGUGAGUGACGGUAACGGGUAAAGAAGCCCCGGCUAACUACGUG
rnacentral:rRNA from 1 species